rnacentral:rRNA from 1 species
UGCCUGUACCAUAACCGACACAGGUGGGUAGGUAGAGUAUACUAAGGGGCGCGAGAUAACUCUCUCUAAGGAACUCGGCAAAAUGACUCCGUAACUUCGGGAGAAGGAGUGCCUUAUUUAUAAGGUUGCAAUAACAAGAUCCAAGCAACUGUUUAUCAAAAACACAGGUCUCCGCUAAGUCGUAAGACGAUGUAUGGGGGCUGACGCCUGCCCAGUGCCAGAAGGUUAAAGAAGUUGGUUAGUGUAUGCGAAGCUGAUGACUGAAGCCCUGGUGAACGGCGGCCGUAACGAUAACGGUCCUAAGGUAGCGAAAUUCCUUGUCGGGUAAGUUCCGACCCGCACGAAAGGCGUAAUGAUUUGGAUACUGUCUCGGAGAGAGGCUCGGUGAAAUAGACUUGUCUGUGAAGAUGCGGACUACCUGCACCAGGACAGAAAGACCCUAUGAAGCUUUACUGUAACUUGAAAUUGGAAUUGGACUUUGCUUGCGCAGUAUAGGUGGGAAGCGUUGAAGAUAUUCUUGCGGGAGUAUUGGAGCUAUCAGUGAGAUACCACUCUUGUAAUGUUAGAUUUCUAACUUUGAACCAUAAUCUGGUCAAAGAACAGUUUCAGGUGGGCUGUUUGACUGGGGCGGUCGCCUCCCAAAUGGUAACGGAGGCGUACAAAGGUUUCCUCUGAACGGAUAGAAAUCGUAUCUAGAGUGUAAAGGCAUAAGGAAGCUUGACUGUGAGACCUACAAGUCGAGCAGGGACGAAAGUCGGUCUUAGUGAUCUGACGGUACUGAGUGGAAAGGCCGUCACUCAACGGAUAAAAGUUACUCUAGGAUAACAGGCUGAUCUCCCCCAAGAGUUCAUAUCGACGGGGAGGUUUGGCACCUCGAUGUCGGCUCAUCGCAUCCUGGGGCGGUAGUACGUCCCAAGGGUUGGGCUGUUCGCCCAUGAAAGCGGUACGCGAGCUGGGUUCAGAACGUCGUGAGACAGUUCGGUCCAUAUCCGGUGUAGGCGUUAGAAUAUUGAGAGGAGCCUUCUUUAGUACGAGAGGACCGAGAAGGACACACCGCUGGUGUACCAGUUAUCGUGCCAACGGUAAACGCUGGGUAGCUAUGUGUGGAGUGGAUAACCGCUGAAAGCAUCUAAGUGGGAAGCCCACCUCAAGAUGAGUAUUCUCAUCACUAUAAGUGAGUAAGGUCACGGUAAGACUAACCGUUUGAUAGGCAUUAAGUGUAAAUGUAGUAAUGCAUGUGCUGAGAUGUCCUAACAGACCGAGGAC